GAUGAAGAACGCAGCGAAAUGCGAUAAGUAAUGUGAAUUGCAGAAUUCAGUGAAUCAUCGAAUCUUUGAACGCACCUUGCGCUCCUUGGUAUUCCGAGGAGCAUGCCUGUUUGAGUGUCAUGAAAUUCUCAACCUUUUCAGCUUUCUUUGUUGAUCAGGCUUGGAUGUGGGAGUAUGCGGGCUUCUUAGAAGUCGGCUCUCCUGAAAUGCAUUAGCGGGACCUUUGUUGCCUGGCUUUGGUGUGAUAAUUAUCUACGCCAUUGUAGUCAAGGAGCUUAAAAUGAGGUUUCAGCUUCUAACCGUCUCCCCUGAGACAACUUUUUGACAAUUUGACCUCAAAUCAGGUAGGACUACCCGCUGAACUUAAGCAUAUCAAUAAGCGGAGGA
rnacentral:misc_RNA from 1 species